rnacentral:rRNA from 1 species
UACGGAGGGUGCAAGCGUUAUCCGGAUUCACUGGGUUUAAAGGGUGCGUAGGCGGGCAGGUAAGUCAGUGGUGAAAUCUCCGAGCUUAACUCGGAAACUGCCGUUGAUACUAUUUGUCUUGAAUAUUGUGGAGGUAAGCGGAAUAUGUCAUGUAGCGGUGAAAUGCUUAGAUAUGACUUAGAACACCAAUUGCGAAGGCAGCUUGCUAAACAAACAUUGACGCUGAGGCACGAAAGCGUGGGGAUCAAACAGG